rnacentral:rRNA from 1 species
UACGUAGGUCCCGAGCGUUGUCCGGAUUUAUUGGGCGUAAAGCGAACGCAGGCGGUCUUUUAAGUCUGAUGUGAAAGCCUUCGGCUUAACCGGAGUAGUGCAUUGGAAACUGGGAGACUUGAGUGCAGAAGAGGAGAGUGGAACUCCAUGUGUAGCGGUGAAAUGCGUAGAUAUAUGGAAGAACACCAGUGGCGAAAGCGGCUCUCUGGUCUGUAACUGACGCUGAGGUUCGAAAGCGUGGGUAGCAAACAGG